rnacentral:rRNA from 1 species
CCUACGGGAGGCAGCAGUGGGGAAUAUUGCGCAAUGGGCGAAAGCCUGACGCAGCGACGCCGCGUGAGGGAUGAAGGUCUUCGGAUUGUAAACCUCUGUCAGCAGGGAAGAACGGUUACUGUGCUAAUCAGCAGUGAAUUGACGGUACCUGCAAAAGAAGCACCGGCUAACUCCGUGCCAGCAGCCGCGGUAAUACGGAGGGUGCGAGCGUUAAUCGGAAUUACUGGGCGUAAAGCGCUCGUAGGCGGUAUGUCAAGUCAAGGGUGAAAUCCCCGCGCUCAACGUGGGAACUGCCUUUGAAACUGGCAGGCUGGAGUGUGUGAGAGGAGGGUGGAAUUCCAGGUGUAGGAGUGAAAUGCGUAGAUAUCUGGAGGAACAUCAGUGGCGAAGGCGACUCUCUGGCACAUGACUGACGCUGAGGAGCGAAAGCGUGGGUAGCAAACAGGAUUAGAUACCCCAGUAGUC